rnacentral:sRNA from 1 species
ACCCUUUUGUGACAUACCUAUCGUUGCUUCGGCGGACUCGCCCCAGCGUCCGGCCGGCCCCGCGCCGGCCGCGGCCUGGAUCCAGGCGGCCGCCGGAGACCCCCAAACUCUGUAUUCUCAGUAUCUUCUGAAUCCGCCGCAAGGCAAAACAAAUGAAUCAAAACUUUCAACAACGGAUCUCUUGGUUCUGGCAUCGAUGAAGAACGCAGCGAAAUGCGAUAAGUAAUGUGAAUUGCAGAAUUCAGUGAAUCAUCGAAUCUUUGAACGCACAUUGCGCCCGCCAGCAUUCUGGCGGGCAUGCCUGUUCGAGCGUCAUUUCAACCCUCGACUUCCCUUUGGGGAAAUCGGCGUUGGGGACCGGCCGUAUACCGCCGGCCCCGAAAUGAAGUGGCGGCCCGUCCGCGGCGACCUCUGCGUAGUAAUCCAACUCGCACCGGAACCCCGACGUGGCCACGCCGUAAAACCCCCGACUUCUGAACGUUGACCUCGGAUCAGGUAGGAAUACCCGCUGAACUUAAGCAUAU